rnacentral:rRNA from 1 species
CCAGCAGCCGCGGUAAUACGUAGGGGGCAAGCGUUAUCCGGAAUUAUUGGGCGUAAAGAGUACGUAGGUGGUUUCCUAAGCGAGGGGUUUAAGGCAAUGGCUUAACCAUUGUUCGCCCCCCGAACUGGGUUACUUGAGUGCUGGAGGGGAAAGCGGAAUUCCUAGUGUAGCGGUGAAAUGCGUAGAUAUUAGGAGGAACACCAGUGGCGAAGGCGGCUUUCUGGACAGUAACUGACACUGAGGUACGAAAGUGUGGGGAGCAAACAGGAUUAGAUACCCUGGUAGUCCACACCGUAAACGAUGAGCACUAGGUGUUGGGCUCGCAAGAGUUCGGUGCCGCAGUUAACGCAUUAAGUGCUCCGCCUGGGGAGUACGUACGCAAGUAUGAAACUCAAAGGAAUUGACGGGGACCCGCACAAGCAGCGGAGCAUGUGGUUUAAUUCGAAGCAACGCGAAGAACCUUACCAGGGCUUGACAUCCCUCUGACCGGCCGGAUAACGACGGCCUUUCUUCGGACAGAGGUGACAGGUGGUGCAUGGUUGUCGUCAGCUCGUGUCGUGAGAUGUUGGGUUAAGUCCCGCAACGAGCGCAACCCUUGUCAUUAGUUGCCAUCAUUUGGUUGGGCACUCUAGUGAGACUGCCGGGGACAACUCGGAGGAAGGUGGGGAUGACGUCAAAUCAUCAUGCCCCUUAUGUUCUGGGCUACACACGUGCUACAAUGGUCGGUACAAAGAGUCGCGAGACCGUGAGGUGGAGCCAAUCUCAAAAACCGAUCCCAGUUCGGAUUGCAGGCUGCAACUCGCCUGCAUGAAGUCGGAGUUGCUAGUAAUCGUGGAUCAGAAUGCCACGGUGAAUGCGUUCCCGGGUCUUGUACACACCGCCCG